CUAUACAUGCAGUCGAGCGAAUGGAUUAGAGAGCUUGCUCUUAUGAAGUUAGCGGCGGACGGGUGAGUAACACGUGGGUAACCUGCCCAUAAGACUGGGAUAACUCCGGGAAACCGGGGCUAAUACCGGAUAACAUUUUGAACCGCAUGGUUCGAAAUUGAAAGGCGGCUUCGGCUGUCACUUAUGGAUGGACCCGCGUCGCAUUAGCUAGUUGGUGAGGUAACGGCUCACCAAGGCAACGAUGCGUAGCCGACCUGAGAGGGUGAUCGGCCACACUGGGACUGAGACACGGCCCAGACUCCUACGGGAGGCAGCAGUAGGGAAUCUUCCGCAAUGGACGAAAGUCUGACGGAGCAACGCCGCGUGAGUGAUGAAGGCUUUCGGGUCGUAAAACUCUGUUGUUAGGGAAGAACAAGUGCUAGUUGAAUAAGCUGGCACCUUGACGGUACCUAACCAGAAAGCCACGGCUAACUACGUGCCAGCAGCCGCGGUAAUACGUAGGUGGCAAGCGUUAUCCGGAAUUAUUGGGCGUAAAGCGCGCGCAGGUGGUUUCUUAAGUCUGAUGUGAAAGCCCACGGCUCAACCGUGGAGGGUCAUUGGAAACUGGGAGACUUGAGUGCAGAAGAGGAAAGUGGAAUUCCAUGUGUAGCGGUGAAAUGCGUAGAGAUAUGGAGGAACACCAGUGGCGAAGGCGACUUUCUGGUCUGUAACUGACACUGAGGCGCGAAAGCGUGGGGAGCCAACAGGAUUAGAUACCCUGGUAGUCCACGCCGUAAACGAUGAGUGCUAAAUGUUAGAAGGGUUUCCGCCCCUUUAUUGCUGAAGUUAACGCAUUAUUCACUCCGCCUGGCGGAGUACGGCCGCCAGGGCUGAAACUCAAAAGAAAUUGAACGGCGGCCCGCCCCAAACUGUUGCAGCAAGUUGGUUUGAUUUCAAAUCCAACGCCCACAAAA
rnacentral:rRNA from 1 species